CAACAAAAAUGAAAGAAAGAAAAAGUUUGUACACGACAAUUCAUAAAUAUAAUAUAUAAAAUAUUCGUAAGUUGUUCCAUCGUGUCACGUAAGCAAGUAGUUUCUGACUAAUCGAUGGAAUGGCAUCGAUCGUACCUGCGGUACAGGUGAAAUCGGCCAACGGUGGAAGGUGGAAAAAGGUUCAGUCCAUCAGGUUGAUUCUCGGUUCAAAGACGUUCUUUUCUAUUGCUCUUUGACGUUUCGAAGAUUUUUCGAAGACGAUUCAAGUUACAAAUCCAAGAUUAUGGAUAGAGGGAAACAAGUAAGAAAGGGAGAGAAAAGAGCAAGUUCUAUAAAUACCCUAAAAGUGGUCGAUGUAUACUACUACUACUACUAACUGCGUUAGCUGCUCGUAUGCAGGAAUUUAUUCAAGGUGAAAAGAUAAUCGAAAGACAUUAAAUGUAACUCCAGUAUAUGGAAAUCAAUAAAAAAAAAAAAAAA